CCUACGGGAGGCAGCAGUGGGGAAUAUUGCACAAUGAGCGAAAGCUUGAUGCAGCCAUACCGCGUGUGUGAAGAAGGCCCGAGGGUUGUAAAGCACUUUCAAUUGUGAGGAAGAUAGUGUCGCUAAUAUCGGCAUUGUUUGACGUUAACUUUAGAAGAAGCACCGGCUAACUCUGUGCCAGCAGCCGCGGUAAUACAGAGGGUGCAAGCGUUAUUCGGAAUUACUGGGCGUAAAGCGCGCGUAGGCGGACUAUUGAGUCAGUUGUGAAAGCCCUGGGCUCAACCUGGGAACUGCAUCUGAUACUGGUAGUCUAGAGUUUAGUAGAGGGAAGGGGAAUUCCUAGUGUAGCAGUGAAAUGCGUAGAUAUUAGGAGGAACAUCAGUGGCGAAGGCGCCUUCCUGGACUAAAACUGACGCUGAGGUGCGAAAGCGUGGGUAGCGAACGGGAUUAGAUACCCCGGUAGUCCACGCCGUAAACGAUGUCAACUAGUUGUUGGUUUUAUUAAAAAGAUUAGUAACGCAGCUAACGCGAUAAGUUGACCGCCUGGGGAGUACGGUCGCAAGAUUAAAACUCAAAGGAAUUGACGGA
rnacentral:rRNA from 1 species